CGAGGGGAGUGAAAAAGAACCUGAAACCGUGUACGUACAAGCAGUGGGAGCACCCUUUGGGGUGUGACUGCGUACCUUUUGUAUAAUGGGUCAGCGACUUAUAUUCUGUAGCAAGGUUAACCGAAUAGGGGAGCCGGAGGGAAACCGAGUCUUAAUUGGGCGUUAAGUUGCAGGGUAUAGACCCGAAACCCGGUGAUCUAGCCAUGGGCAGGUUGAAGGUUGGGUAACACUAACUGGAGGACCGAACCGACUAAUGUUGAAAAAUUAGCGGAUGACCUGUGGCUGGGGGUGAAAGGCCAAUCAAACCGGGAGAUAGCUGGUUCUCCCCGAAAGCUAUUUAGGUAGCGCCUCGUGAAUUCAUCUCCGGGGGUAGAGCACUGUUUCGGCUAGGGGGCCAUCCCGGCUUACCAACCCGAUGCAAACUGCGAAUACCGGAGAAUGUUAUCACGGGAGACACACGGCGGGUGCUAACGUCCGUCGUGAAGAGGGAAACAACCCAGACCGCCAGCUAAGGUCCCAAAGUCAUGGUUAAGUGGGAAACGAUGUGGGAAGGCCCAGACAGCCAGGAUGUUGGCUUAGAAGCAGCCAUCAUUUAAAGAAAGCGUAAUAGCUCACUGGUCGAGUCGGCCUGCGCGGAAGAUGUAACGGGGCUAAACCAUGCACCGAAGCUGCGGCAGCGACGCUGAUGCGUUGUUGGGUAGGGGAGCGUUCUGUAAGCCUGCGAAGGUGUGUCGUGAGGCAUGCUGGAGGUAUCAGAAGUGCGAAUGCUGACAUAAGUAACGAUAAAGCGGGUGAAAAGCCCGCUCGCCGGAAGACCAAGGGUUCCUGUCCAACGUUAAUCGGGGCAGGGUGAGUCGACCCCUAAGGCGAGGCCGAAAGGCGUAGUCGAUGGGAAACGGGUUAAUAUUCCCGUACUUGGUGUUACUGCGAAGGGGGGACGGAGAAGGCUAUGUUGGCCGGGCGACGGUUGUCCCGGUUUAAGCGUGUAGGUGUGUGUUCCAGGUAAAUCCGGUUCACUUUAACACUGAGGCGUGAUGACGAGGCACUACGGUGCUGAAGCAACAAAUGCCCUGCUUCCAGGAAAAGCCUCUAAGCAUCAGGUAACAUCAAAUCGUACCCCAAACCGACACAGGUGGUCAGGUAGAGAAUACCAAGGCGCUUGAGAGAACUCGGGUGAAGGAACUAGGCAAAAUGGUGCCGUAACUUCGGGAGAAGGCACGCUGACACGUAGGUGAAGUGAUUUACUCAUGGAGCUGAAGUCAGUCGAAGAUACCAGCUGGCUGCAACUGUUUAUUAAAAACACAGCACUGUGCAAACACGAAAGUGGACGUAUACGGUGUGACGCCUGCCCGGUGCCGGAAGGUUAAUUGAUGGGGUCAGCGCAAGCGAAGCUCCUGAUCGAAGCCCCGGUAAACGGCGGCCGUAACUAUAACGGUCCUAAGGUAGCGAAAUUCCUUGUCGGGUAAGUUCCGACCUGCACGAAUGGCGUAAUGAUGGCCAGGCUGUCUCCACCCGAGACUCAGUGAAAUUGAACUCGCUGUGAAGAUGCAGUGUACCCGCGGCAAGACGGAAAGACCCCGUGAACCUUUACUAUAGCUUGACACUGAACAUUGAGCCUUGAUGUGUAGGAUAGGUGGGAGGCUUUGAAGUGUGGACGCCAGUCUGCAUGGAGCCGGCCUUGAAAUACCACCCUUUAAUGUUUGAUGUUCUAACGUGGACCCGUGAUCCGGGUUGCGGACAGUGUCUGGUGGGUAGUUUGACUGGGGCGGUCUCCUCCUAAAGAGUAACGGAGGAGCACGAAGGUUGGCUAAUCCUGGUCGGACAUCAGGAGGUUAGUGCAAUGGCAUAAGCCAGCUUGACUGCGAGCGUGACGGCGCGAGCAGGUGCGAAAGCAGGUCAUAGUGAUCCGGUGGUUCUGAAUGGAAGGGCCAUCGCUCAACGGAUAAAAGGUACUCCGGGGAUAACAGGCUGAUACCGCCCAAGAGUUCAUAUCGACGGCGGUGUUUGGCACCUCGAUGUCGGCUCAUCACAUCCUGGGGCUGAAGUAGGUCCCAAGGGUAUGGCUGUUCGCCAUUUAAAGUGGUACGCGAGCUGGGUUUAGAACGUCGUGAGACAGUUCGGUCCCUAUCUGCCGUGGGCGCUGGAGAACUGAGGGGGGCUGCUCCUAGUACGAGAGGACCGGAGUGGACGCAUCACUGGUGUUCGGGUUGUCAUGCCAAUGGCACUGCCCGGUAGCUAAAUGCGGAAGAGAUAAGUGCUGAAAGCAUCUAAGCACGAAACUUGCCCCGAGAUGAGUUCUCCCUGAGACUUAGAGUCUCCUGAAGGAACGUUGAAGACGACGACGUUGAUAGGCCGGGUGUGUAAGCGCAGCGAUGCGUUGAGCUAACCGGUACUAAUGAACCGUGAGGCUUAACCUUACAACGCCGAA
rnacentral:rRNA from 1 species